rnacentral:rRNA from 1 species
UCCGGUUGAUCCCGCCGGACCCGACUGCUAUCGGAUUGGUACUAAGCCAUGCGAGUCAUUGUAGCAAUACAAGGCGGACGGCUCAGUAACACGUAGUCAACCUAACUCGUGGACGUGGAUAACCUCGGGAAACUGAGAAUAAACCGCGAUAGACCAUAGUGCCUGGAAUGGCCUAUGAUCAAAACAGUUUACUGCCAUGGGAUGGGACUGCGGCCUAUCAGCUUGUUGGUGAGGUAAUGGCCCACCAAGGCGAUUACAGGUACGGGCUCUGAGAGGAGAAGCCCGGAGAUGGGUACUGAGACACGGACCCAGGCCCUAUGGGGCGCAGCAGGCGAGAAACCUUAGCAAUGUGCGAAAGCACGACUGGGUCAGUCCGAGUGAUUCCUGAUGAAGGAGUCUUUUGCUUGUCCUAAAAGCACAGGUGAAUAAGGGGUGGGCAAGUCUGGUGUCAGCCGCCGCGGUAAUACCAGCACCUCGAGUGGUCAGGACGUUUAUUGGGCCUAAAGCAUCCGUAGCCGGCGCUGCAAGUCUUCGGUUAAAUCCAUCUGCUUAACAGAUGGGCCGCUGGAGAUACUACAGCGCUAGGGAGUGGGAGAGGCAGACGGUAUUCAGUGGGUAGGGGUAAAAUCCUCUGAUCCAUUGAGGACCACCAGUGGCGAAG